AUCUAAUCUGACCUGCAAGCUGCAAUUACUCUUUACCCCUGACUUUACCCCUGAGCUGAAUAGCUGAGCCGUGGAAAUGCAUUCAUCUCUCUCCCGGGCGACGACGCCGGCGACUCGACCGGCCGGCCGUCGCGACCAAGCAAGAUCGCCGCGCUGUCUCUCCACCGUGAUGUCCCUCCUCGCCCCUAUCCGUCGCGCCCCUGUCUUCCUCUCCCUUUCUCUCUUUAUGUCCUCUCCCUCCGCGUCCCCGUGCGGCGACCACGGAUGACGGUGGCGGCGCAUCCCGAUGUCUAGAGGUGCUGAAAAAACUACUCCAUAACAGUGCCUCAAUGAUGGCUUCCAUUCCGCAUCAGUUCUGGCAACAUGAUGUGCCACUGCGUCCGUGAGCAGCAAUGUGCUAUUAGUGUUACUGAAAUCAUUUGCAAUCCUGUAAUCUGAAACUUCCUAGUUCAUAAACAUAUAAUUUUUCGGUGGUUUACGUUCAUGGCUGGGAAUCUGUGCAGGGAAUAGACAGGUUUAUUAAGCACACAUCUCAUGAUACUGUGAUUUUCGUUCAUGGCAAUGUCUGAGCUGCACACAUUUCGUGAAAGCAUCAUCUAUUGAUUCCACAAUACGCA